rnacentral:rRNA from 1 species
AGUGAACGCUGGCGGUAGGCCUAACACAUGCAAGUCGAACGGCAGCACAGUAAGAGCUUGCUCUUACGGGUGGCGAGUGGCGGACGGGUGAGGAAUACAUCGGAAUCUACUUUUUCGUGGGGGAUAACGUAGGGAAACUUACGCUAAUACCGCAUACGACCUACGGGUGAAAGCAGGGGAUCUUCGGACCUUGCGCGAUUGAAUGAGCCGAUGUCGGAUUAGCUAGUUGGCGGGGUAAAGGCCCACCAAGGCGACGAUCCGCAGCUGGUCUGAGAGGAUGAUCAGCAACACUGGAACUGAGACACGGUCCAGACUCCUACGGGAGGCAGCAGUGGGGAAUAUUGGACAAUGGGCGCAAGCCUGAUCCAGCCAUACCGCGUGGGUGAAGAAGGCCUUCGGGUUGUAAAGCCCUUUUGUUGGGAAAGAAAAGCAGCAGGUUAAUACCCCGCUGUUCUGACGGUACCCAAAGAAUAAGCACCGGCUAACUUCGUG